rnacentral:misc_RNA from 1 species
GGAAGUAAAAGUGUAACAAGGUCUCCGUUGGUGAACCAGCGGAGGGAUCAUUACAGGACUCGCAAGACUCCUUCACCCUGUGAACCUCACUACAAGCACGUUGCUUCGGCGGGUGUCCCGGCGGGGGUUUUCCCUCGCCGGGGCGCACAGCCCGCCGGCAGCCUACUAUACUCUGUCUCUUUGCGUUGGCAUCUCGAGAAAAAACAAACUAGUUAAAACUUUCAACAACGGAUCUCUUGGUUCUG